GCGAAUAGCUCAUUACAACAGCCGUUGUUUCUUGGAUCUCCGUCYUACUUGGAUAACUGUGGUAAUUCUAGAGCUAAUACAUGCACCCGAGCUCUGACCUUACGGGACGAGCGCAUUUAUUAGACCAAAACCAAUCGGCUUCGGCCGUUGCAUGGUGACUCUGAAUAACUACGCAAAUCGCUUAGGUUCUAUACCGGCGAUAUAUCCUUCAAGUGUCUGCCUUAUCAACUUUCGAUGGUAGUUUAUGUGACUACCAUGGUUGCGACGGGUAACGGAGAAUUAGGGUUCGACUCCGGAGAGGGAGCCUGAGAAACGGCUACCACUUCUAAGGAAGGCAGCAGGCGCGCAAAUUACCCAUUCUCGGAAAGAGGAGGUAGUGACGAAAAAUAACGAGAUAACCCGCUCUAGCGAGUUAUCAUCGGAAUGASUACAAUCUAAAUCCUUUAACGAGGACCUANUGGAGGGCAAGUCUGGUGCCAGCAGCC
rnacentral:rRNA from 1 species